ensembl:ncRNA asRNA:CR45270 antisense RNA:CR45270
GUGUGUGUGGGUGCACCUGCAGAGGCCGAAACGCAGGCAGGUACAAAAGACUUAGGCAACGAACCUUCCACUUCAGCAUGCACUUGCGGCGAAGGGAGAUGGCAGAUCAAAAGAGAGAGAAAGAGAGAGGGCAAGAAAGAGAGCCACAGCCACCCUCGACACGGGCAAACCGCUCCUGCAUUUCGUAUCUCCCGGACUUUGCGUUUAUUUCUGUGCUGCGGCAUUGCAUUCAUCGUCGAAAAUUCGAAUUCGCUGCUCGGUUCACUCUACUUCGCUUUCGAACUCGCCGCCUUGUUGUUCUGUUUUUGUUGUUGUCAUUCGGCUUGUAAACCGCGUGAAAGUGGUAGUGCAAUCGGGCAUCAGGUAGAGAAACAAACACACACAACAGCGGGAGAGAGGUGGAGAGAAAGACCGAGAUCACCGCAUGCCAAGAGAAGUCCCUGCAAAAAAUUACUGGAUACAAAGAUGCACUUUCUGAAAACUAUUCCGCGGUUAAGCAGUUCAGAUAAUUAAUAUAGUUCAACUCUUAAUUCUUAUAUAAAAUACUGUUGAUAGGUUUCCUAUACACAAGCUAAAUCACUAAAGCACUUUGUAUGAUUAAAUAUUAAAAAAAUUUACGAAUAUUGCAUAUAUUUAACAUAAAAUCAAAUAAAUCAACUCGAAUUGUUAGCACUGUGAAAUGAAGGAUUUUUUUCUCCGUGUGGCAUACAUACGUAAAAUAGUUGUGCAUGUACCACAAUCGAAAACGCCAAGUAGCUGCCGUGCCGCCGCAGCCUCCGCCGCUCUCUGUUCCGUUCUCUCGGCCUGGCUUUCGGUUAACCUCAGUCGGGCUCCUACAACCUCACCUCGCCAGGCGGCGCGGCAAUCAGCGCUGUGUCGUGUGGAUCGGCGGACGAACCGACGGACGGUGCUUGUGUGCUUUCCGCCAUGGUAAAGGGUGACUCCCCCCAGCUUCCUUUCCUCCGAGCUCCCCCCACUUGGAUCCCGCACUCACCAAUUCACGUUGUUUGUCUUUUGGCGCUGCGCACGCGUGGAACUGUGGUUAAGAACGUAAAGCAGCGGGCGCUAGUUUUCACUGAAGCACUAGACAUUCUACGCAAUGUAAAAUAUUUAUGUAAAAUGCAAUUUUACAGUAAAUAUUUAAAAAGUACAUUCAUGAUGAUAAGUAACAAUAAAUAAAGAUAAAAUUAAAAAUAUUUAAUGUAAUAUGUUGAGUUCCAGGAGCCCAAUUACAAACACUUGCAUCUCAAGUUUGAAUUUGAGUUUUAUUUUCAUUUCGGUUUAUUGUUGCAAUAUAUUAAAUGUUUAAAACUAAAUUUAGGCUUAGUUUAAUCCAUUUUUUAUUUAUUGAUUUUGCCGUUUUUGCGUUUACACAUUAGUUGAUUUUCAUGUAAUAAAUUUAAUUUGUGGUUUUUAACUGGUCGAAACAUUUCACUAAUGCUUGAUUACGUUUUUGUACAUAUACCGCUAAGUAGUAUAUAUAUGUAUGCAUGUAUCGGUGUGUGUGUUUUGUGUGCGAGUGUGGCGGUGUAUAUAACUAAAAACAAACAACAAUCGCAUUAAAUGUACUUAUAUAUUUGGUUUUUUUCUUCAAAAAGUCUUAUAUCUGUCCGUUAUGCAAAAGUAAGAAACCGAAGAGAAGCAUUCACAAACAAACAUUCCAUCCCUCCGCGCGUCCCUUUGUCCAGGACAUUUUUGUCUAACCUGAUUGCCUAAAAUUAAUGUAACAAACCAUGGAAACGUUGAUGUUGGUUCUCGGAUUCUCACCGAUCCGCGGAUCUGCCGAUCUCAUCGAACACUAUAAUGCAAAGGCGUUUGUCGAAUUCUCAAUUCCAAGUAGCAGCCUGAGUGACGCGUGAAAGUCAAGUUUCAAAGGACUAGGCGGAGAUGUGAUUUACCAUAUGAAUCCAGAAAUCGGACCUUCGAUCGUGUCUAAGCUGUUAUAAAAAUAUAGGAACUUAUGCGGGGGUAUUCCAAAAAUAUCUCUAUAUUAAAGAAAAACUCAUUUGGUGUCCUUAUGCUGAGCACCUUAAGAUUUGAGAAUAAGAAAAGUAAGUAACGUUGGCUCGAUUGGUGGAAAACAAUAUUGAAAUCAUAUAUGCUUUGAGUAAACUAGAUGUUGUUUAAUUGCUAGUAAAGUUAAUAUACUUGUGUUUGCUGUUCUUGUUCAUGUCAGAGUGUGAUGGAUGGGGUUUUGUAUCGAUAGAUGCAUUAAAACUAGGCACACCAACUAGCUACGAAAAUACAUUCCCUGCUCCCCGCAACGAAGGUACACACAUUAAUAUUGUACUUUAAAAUAUUGUGCCUCGAACACAAACAACCUAAGGUCAAAGGAAACCAACUUAAGAUCGAAAUAACAUUGUUAACUUUUUGCCAGGGCUCGAACCGAAAGUCCUCCUGUUUGUUCUGUGUUUUUCCUUAUAAAUUUGUUGGUUUUUUUCAUAUUUUAUAUUUGUUUUUAGUUUUCAAUUCGACAACUUGUUUGCUAAAAUUUAAAUGUAACCAUACUCUUGUGUUUCCUUUUUUUUGUUAUUUAUAAUACUGUUUUUUAAUAUAUGUUUUUUUUUUUGAAUGCAGAAAGGGAGCAAUGCAAGGAAACUCUUGGAACUUCCGCUUUUCUAACGAAAAACAAUUGCAUAAUACAUUUGUAAGUGGAUAUAUUUUGUUGCGAAGUUCUGAUUCUUUUUUUCUUAUUUGUGUUGGCAGUGAUAUUGCGAAACGUUCUUCUUUCGACUUGGAAAUCAGCUCGACAUCGAAAUAAUAUAGUACACGUUAGUUAUGCGCUUGUUCCGGUUUGCAUUUGGAUAAGACUCUAUGGGGUGUGUAUGGUCUGUUGUGGUCUGGCUCAAAGUACAGCUCAAGAUGAGGCUUUGUAAGAUUUGCUUAAGAAAGGACUUGAUCCUCAAUGGGGUUUCAUAAGAAAGUAGAAAGUGUUGCCGUCUGCUGUUGUAUUUACAAAAUGCUUCGAUGUCAUUACUCGUAUGACCUAAAACGAUUUCAAAACUAGUCAUGUUAAAUGUCUCUAUAUAUCCGUAUUUAUAUAUAUAUAUAGUGACGUAUUUGGGUGGUCCAAACCAGCCACUUCCAUUAUUUCAAAGAAAUCAGUAAUGCACUCUAGUAAUUUUCCAUAACGUAUCCCAGCUGCGCAGCAUUCGUUUAUCUUUGGCAGCGCAGCCGUUCUUGUAAACAUCCUAAAGCCUGACCUAAGCAGAUUUGACUGCCCUCUUUCAACGCUACCUAAUCUUAAGAACCCAAGAGCGAGGCUCUCCCGAAAUACAAAUAUUGUUCAAAUACUGAGGCUUCUCCUCAAUCCAAUUUGCAUUUGAUUUUUAGUCUUAAGCUGAGAUCCAAAGAAUAAAGUCGUGAAACUAUUUCUCCUAAAAACUAUUUUUUAUUUCUUGGCGUUGUCCUUAGUCAACUGACGGGACAUUAGUUCGACUCAUAAAUAAAACAACAAUUUUACUAUAUAUAUAUAUAUAUAUAUAUAUGCUGGUGUGUUGUAUAUAUAAGUUUAUAAAGUUUAUGUAUGUAAUACGUUUAAAAAGAUUUUUUGGUUUCUUUCCUUCUUUUUUUUGUAAUGUUUUUUUGGAAAAAGUAUUUCUGUUACGUUGCGGUUUAUGAUUACGUUUAAACAUACUUAUCAGUUAGCGGGUUCCGUAAUCUUGGUUUCAAUUUGAUUAAUACGUCUCUUAGAUCACUAGUAUUACAAUGGAUGCUAUUUGUGUCGCUCGUUUCGUAUUAGCUUUCUGGGUAUUUUUUUCUUGUUGUUUUUCUUUCUGUUUUUUUGUUUUUUUUUGGUUGUUUUGGAAAAUGCUUUCUGUGGUCGAACCUGCUUCUUAGUGAAAACAUAUUUUGUAAUACCUAACUCUUUGGUUAGCUAACGACUAGAACGUAGGAAGAGAAAGGAAUCCGAUUCACAUUGAACGCACGACGUCUGAUUCACCGGCCCCAACCAGGAUCCUGAUUUCGUGGCUGCUCGCAAAAUGGUUAAAUGGUUCUACUAAUGGAUACAUAUUGCUUAGUCGAUUGCAGCAGCGAUUGGGGCGGAAAAUCAGAGAUAUACCAGUGGAGAGCAACAGCGGAAGUCAACACAGCGCAACUGAAUUCGAUCCAAAUCCAAAUCCAAAUCCGAUCCGGGACAUCAAGCCAUCCUCUCUAAGUUGGACUAUCCGCUUUGGAACCGGCAUUCGAGUUGUCUUGCAGUUGAGCUAGUGUCUUGAACUUUUGAGAGUUUAGGAAUCUGUUGAAAAAGAUACCCCGUUUAAGUAUAAAUACAGUAUCUUUUAUUUUUGCCUAAAGAGCACUCACCUCGGAUAUGAGUCUCUGUGCAUCAGUGUGUAGAUCUGGAUUUGAGCUUCGUCGAAGGUGUGCGUCGUGGGCUCGAUCAUGUUCCGGUUGACAAUCUCGCGGACCCUGGAGUCCAGCGACACCUCCCUGGGCGACAGGAUCGAGAUGUAGUCCUCGUAGAUGAGGCGCGCCUUCUCCUCCACCAACUCUGGGCUAUUCUCCUUCUUGAGAUCCUCGCAGGCCAGCCAGAAUAGGAUGUUCUCCUCACUGAAUUCGCUGCGCAGGAAGUUCUGGAACACCUUUCGACCAGCUGGGAAAAUAUUCGGCCAACCACCAAUUAGUUUGGAUCAAGGUGGCAAUUGUCAAUGGCUUACCUGUACUUUUCAUCAGCUUGUCAAAGCUUUUGCCCCAGCUGCGGAUUUCCUCCAGUGUGGGUCUGUAAUGUACAAAUAAAUGUAGUUUUUCCGUGGCUUAAGUUUAUUAAGUUGAUUGGUGCUCAAACUCACUGCUCGCCAUCCAAGAAUUCGGCAUUUACCAGAUCUCGCUUCGUGGGGGCAUUUUCAUCGGCAUUCUUGAUGGCCAGACUGUAAAGAUAAGAAAAAAGGGAAAAAACAAGGGGGGUUUGCUUGUUAAAAGUCGAUUAUUUUGAUUUUACAACUCAUCAAUCACCCUUUAAAGUAUACUACAAUUUUAUUCAUCGCUGAAUUGGCGCUCAGCCUGACUCAUUUUUAACUGGCACAAAAUAGCAUAAAUAUGUAAGUACAGUAGCCGCUCGAUAACGUAAACUUUUAGAUAGCGCAAGCUACUGAUUAGCAUUUUAUAAAACACUUGCACCAAACAUAGAAACUGAACAUAAGCGAUUCUACCACAUUUUAAGCUAGAGAGUUUAAAAGUUACUCAUAUAUCUGAACGCGAUAUAAAGAUAUAAUGCCUCGAAUAAACACUGUAGAUAGGCUAAUGGCAUAUCGGUUUUGGGUUUCGAAGCCCGGAGACAGAGCAACGGAGUACUCGAACUUGACAUAAAGCUCUCUUAUCUGGACGACAGUUAUCAGAGCGACUCGCUGGCCCAAUACCUAAUCAAAGUCACACAGGCGUACAUAUACCCCUAUACAUAUAUGAAUCAAAUUAGAUGCGGCCAGGGGGGGUUUGAGGCGACAUCGGGUGCUCUGAACUGGGUUUUCGGGGCGAUAUACCCCCAAGUUGUGCACACAAAGGUGCGGACGGGGGGUUGCGAGUUGGCGGCGGGUCGCAAAAGACUUUCGUUUUCAUUCACGAAAACAUGCAACACUUGGAGGAGUCCGCGGAGGAGCCGCCACAUACUUAUUUAUAUUUGAUUUGAAAAGUGCCCUCCAGAGAGCUUUUCGCUGCCCGUCGCCUUGCUCACGGAAUUGUGAAUGAAUGCGGGAGAAACUGAGAGAGCGGCACCAGUGCUAAAGAGCGUUUCGUAAGAGAGAAAGCGGAGAAAGUUCGCAUGGCGGAGAGAGAAAGAGCUUUUGGAUGUUCAGCAGCGUUGCCAGCUGCCAGCAGAAGGCCACCUUUACCGUGUCCAUUUCCAUUUCAACUUCCCUAUCCAUAUCCAUAUCCAUAUCCAUGUCAGUGGGCACAGCCAUAGCCGAAGCCAAAGCCAAAGCCAAGCAAUAGUUAAAGCCAAAGCAAUAACCAUAGCUGUAACCGUGGCCACAUCCAUGACAGCACUGCGAGAAACAUGGACUAAUAAUAUUUCGACUCUCUUAAAAAAAGGGCUCAAACAGA